rnacentral:rRNA from 1 species
AACCGGAUUAGAUACCCUGGUAGUCCACGCCGUAAACGAUGUCGACUUGGAGGUUGUGCCCUUGAGGCGUGGCUUCCGGAGCUAACGCGUUAAGUCGACCGCCUGGGGAGUACGGCCGCAAGGUUAAAACUCAAAUGAAUUGACGGGGGCCCGCACAAGCGGUGGAGCAUGUGGUUUAAUUCGAUGCAACGCGAAGAACCUUACCUGGUCUUGACAUCCACGGAAGUUUUCAGAGAUGAGAAUGUGCCUUCGGGAACCGUGAGACAGGUGCUGCAUGGCUGUCGUCAGCUCGUGUUGUGAAAUGUUGGGUUAAGUCCCGCAACGAGCGCAACCCUUAUCCUUUGUUGCCAGCGGUCCGGCCGGGAACUCAAAGGAGACUGCCAGUGAUAAACUGGAGGAAGGUGGGGAUGACGUCAAGUCAUCAUGGCCCUUACGGCCUGGGCUACACACGUGCUACAAUGGUCGGUACAGAGGGUUGCCAAGCCGCGAGGUGGAGCUAAUCUCACAAAACCGAUCGUAGUCCGGAUCGCAGUCUGCAACUCGACUGCGUGAAGUCGGAAUCGCUAGUAAUCGCGAAUCAGAA